GGAGACCACACACAUCUAGGUACUGGUAAUUUGAAUGUGUACUGGUAAAAACAAUUAAUUUGAAGAACAUUUCUUCUAUAUGGAAACAGAAUGCUUCAACUGAGCAUUUAUACUGAACAAAAAAAAAAUCACACAAUAUAGACACCGUACUUAGUGGUCUGUGCGUAAAUUUUAUUUCAUAAAAGAUGAAAGUUACAUGCUCACCGGUUUAUUCGGUCUUUGACUUCCGGUUUGAUUUGACGUUUUGGGAAAGAAAGAAAGUGUUGAUGAUUUAUGUGUGAUAUAGUGGAUUCGUGUGGCUGUCAGCGAUAUUUGAUACGCGUAGCUUUUGCAGAGAAGUAUAACUUUCUAUUAAUCAAUAACGAUUUAUUUGAAUAAAUGCUAUAAAUAUAAAAAAGACACGUGAAUUGAGACGUGUUUAUCUUUUACUUUUAUGUGGGAUAGUUCGGUGGUGACAAAUGACAGAAAUACAAGUUUAAAGACUUCCACGAACAUUUACUGGUACUGCCAGUUUUGAAGUGUAUGUACUGAAUAAAUUGUGUAGAAAAAUUUAGAGAAAAUGGACCUCGGAUUCAAUUAAAAAAGUUGCAUUAUAUAUUCAGUUACAAAAUAUCGUCACUGCUUUACAUAUCGUCAUUGGAUAUUGUGUUUUUAUCUCAUUUUGAUGCAAGGUGAUGGUAACAUUAAUUUAGUGUACUUGAUAUUGUGAAGAACUCUCAUAUGCAUUCAUACUGUUGUGGAUUCACGUAUACGAAAAUGUUGAAAAUGUUGUUCUGAACAGUUAUGAAGGCUGUAUAGUAGCAUGUGAAUAUUAUAUGAGCUGUGACAAGACCUGAAAGAUUUUGAAUUAUUAAGAUACAGUACACUGGAUGUGGUGUUUAUGACCUUUCAAUCGAUGAAAUAUGUGAGGACAAAAGAAAUGGCACACUUAAGUUUAUUUAACUGUCUUUGGUGUCUUCUCAAGUGUAUGGUAAUAACAGAUGCAAAUGGGUAGUCACAUAUUGUUACAGUUGUUAAGACAGAAACUUUUAGUCUCAAAUCACAGCUCUGAGCUUUGUCCAGGUAUAAGAAUAUACCCAAAAGAUGGAAUAUAUUAAAUAUUUAUUGGAAUCUGAGUGUGGUAUGAAGUGUGAUAUUUUGACUUGAAACAUAACUCCAUGUGAUACUUUAUUUAUCUCAUGACUUUGUAACUGACUGAAAAUGUUAAUGUAAUUUGUAUAACUAAGAGUGAUUGUGUAGCAGUUUUUGGCUACAAGUAAAAACAUGACUUGUGUAUUAUUUUAAUUUUCUUCUAGUGAAUUUAUGAACUAAUAAAAACUUAAAUAUAUAUUAGAUAUUUUUCAUGGUUUUUAAAUAAAAAAAAUAGAAAUCUGCAGGGUAUUUUCAGUAGAUCGUUGGUGUAGGCUAAGAUGAAUAUUUAGGUUUAUUUCUUAUUGCAAGAUAUAAGACUAACACUUUUUGAGUUUUGUUUAGGAGUUCAUCAUCAUUUGUUAAGGAAGUUGUGCGAGAACCAUAACUUUAUUUGCAUCAAGAAUUAUGGUAUUUCUACACAUAAAAAGUCUCCCUGGUUAUUUUUUCCCAAUUUUUGGAAUACUGUUUGAGCUAUAGCUUUGAAACAUUGUUCACUUGUUUAUUACUGUUAUUAGAUAAUUGAGUACACAGAAUCAUUACUCGACAUGUAAUAUUUUGAGAAAUUAUGAACCACUUCAACAAAGAGAUUAGGACUUUCUUGUUAAGCGUCCAUUUUCUAUGAAACUAAAAUGCACAAACUGUAAAAUGUACAGCCUUAAAACUUUGAACACUUAUUUUUGUAGUUGGAUAGUUUAACUCUUAUAUUUUUUGGUACUAUUACAGGUAUAGUUUUAUAUUUAUACAUUUCUUAUCAACAGUAGGUCAGUUAGAAGGCAAAAGAAACAUAAUUCUUUUCUUGCAUGUAACCUAAUGUCUAGCAUUAGCACCCUAAGUCAGUGCUCUGUUAAUUUUUCUUUGAGAGCAUAAUAAUAUCAGAGUAGUUGUAUGUGCCAAAGGUAGUUUUAGUAACACAUUAUUUUACAUGAAAUGAGUAACUGUUGCUUAUAUAUUUUUAAAACUUUUAAUGAAGAAGGUACAUGAUAUUUAGUUCUGAAAGUGUUAAUAAUGAAAUUAUUGCAUUUACUGAUUUUGUUUAAUUCUGGUAUUCUUUCUUUUACAAAUACUAUAAAAAAAUAUUCAUUAUCAUGUAACUUAAAUAAUUGAUAGAAUUUUUAGCAUCCAAUUUAUUUGCUGAGUUUUAUAUUUAUAAAACUGGGGUCUCUUUGGCUGAAUGGUUAAAGUGUCAGAUUUCUUAGCACUUGCCUAUCAACAAUGUAGGUUUGAUCCUCAUUCAGGUAAUUGAUUUCUUAAAGUGAAUAAGACAUCCAACUAGCUUACAGAAGAUCACUGGUUCUACCCAGUUGUCUGCCAGUGAUCAUCACUGUGAUGAUCUGAGAUAUUCCUCCACCAUCAAUUCUGGAAAUUCAGCAUAUGACCUUGAGUCUGCACGACAUUAACAUCACCUCUCCUCAAGAUACAUUUGUAUCAGUUAGAAUUGUUUUCUCAGUUAUUUACUACAAACACAAUUAAUAGCAUUUGAAUUACAUGUAUACUGAAAAAAAAUGCUAAAGGGAAGUAAUAAAAAUUGUAAUUGAUGCAUAAAGGGAAGUAAUAAAAAAUUGUAAAUGAUGCAUAAAGGGAAGUAAUAAAAAUUUUAAAUGUUGUUAUGUGCCUUUAAUAUAUUGAUUUUAUAAUAGAUGAAGAUUUAUUUUUAUAUAUAAGGACUUGAAAAAUUGCAUGUUAUUUAAGAUAUUUUGUGAAAAUAAAUUGUGCCAAACUA